UUUACCAAGACAUGCCAAAAGACACCAGGGGCCAUAUCCUCGGAACUUUUUGAUAAUUAUUUAUUCCGUCCUCAGAUCGUCUUUAAUAUGUCAGGGAAAUAAAUUUUAAAGCCAUGGUAUUCUCCAGUCUAUCAAACCAAUUACGGUUCUUUAUGAAACUCUUCCUUCUCCAGAGGUAAGAAAGCAUACCGAGAGGAAAGUUUUGAAGUUGGUUCGGCGUUGUGGACGGGCCGGUCUAUGAGAAUUUUUUACUUCUAGGAGUGAAAGCUUGAGAUGCCAGCCACCCAGAUUACAUCUGUUCAAUAUUCCCCCACAAAGAAAAGACUGAUGACAAAUCUGCUGUUAUCUUGGGGCGUUAUGCACGUGCUACAAAUUUAUUGAGACAAGGCUAAGGAAGAGCUGUAAACAAGAUCAGACAGAAUGCUCACAGCCUCUAGAUGAAGAUGAUACCUCUUCUGUCCCCACAACCAGUACGUCCACUUCUGAAGAAGGUGAAGAAGGUACAUGUAUGUGAACGACACCAUUGCCCAGAUGUCAUGAAGCUUAGAGAAUACCUGUCCAGGAUGAGGCCAAGCCCAUGGAUAAGCCACUGUGGAAAGAGCAGAACUAUACAUAGAAAUUGAAAAUCGUAGAAGAGAGAGAUAUGAUCCACAUGCAAGGAUUCAGAGUAUGGACAAAUUACUGACACUUACUUCAUUUACCACAUCCUCUGUCAA